rnacentral:rRNA from 1 species
AACGAACGCUGGCGGCAUGCCUAACACAUGCAAGUCGAACGAGACCUUCGGGUCUAGUGGCGCACGGGUGCGUAACGCGUGGGAACCUGCCCUUAGGUUCGGAAUAACUCCCCGAAAGGGGUGCUAAUACCGGAUAAUGUCUUCGGACCAAAGAUUUAUCGCCUUUGGAUGGGCCCGCGUUGGAUUAGCUAGUUGGUAGGGUAAAAGCCUACCAAGGCGACGAUCCAUAGCUGGUCUGAGAGGAUGAUCAGCCACACUGGGACUGAGACACGGCCCAGACCCCUCGGGGGGGGAGGAGGGGGGAAAUUUGGACAAGGGGGGAAAGCCUGACCCAGCAAUGCCGGGGGAGUGAUGAAGGCUUUGGGGUUUUAAAGCUUUUUUACCCGGGAUGAAAAUGACGGUACCGGGAGAAUAAGCUCCGGCUAACUCCGG